AUGAGACCAGACCGGAAGAGGAGGAGGAGACCAGACCGGAAGGAAGAGGAGACCAGUAAGGAAGAGGAGACAAGACCAGAAGAGGAAGUGGAAAACAGACUGGAAGAGGAAGAGCUGACCAGACCGGAAGAGGAGGAGACCAGACAGAAAGAGGAGACCAGAGAGGAAGAGGAAGAUGAGAUGGGACCAGAAGAGGGAGCCGAUCAGACCGGAAUCCACCUUAGCCAACACGUGAGAAGACUUCGAGCUAGCAUCACUCCCGGGACCAUCCUCAUCAUCCUCACCGGAUGCCACAGAGGCAAGAGGGCGGUUUUCCUGAAGCAACUUGGCAGUGGCUUGUUACUUGUGACUGGACCUCUGACCCUUAAUCGAGUUCCUCUGCGAAGGACACACCAGAAAUUUGUCAUCAUCACCACCACAAAAAUUGAUAUCAGCAAUGUGAAAAUUCCUAAGCAUCUCACGGAUGCUUACUUCAAGAAGAAGAAGCUGCAGAAGCCCAGACACCAGGAGGGUGAGAUCUUUGACACAGAAAAGGAGAAAUACGAGAUUACAGAACAGCGCAAAGUGGAUCAGAAAGCUGUGGACUCCCAAAUUUUACCAAAAAUCAAGGCAAUUCCUCAGCUCCAGGGCUAUCUACGAUCUCUGUUUGCCCUGACAAAUGGAAUUUAUCCUCACAGAUUGGUAUUCUAAAUUUUUACAAAGAACCUAAUUAAAUAACUGA